AUUAAGUUGUUUCUCUCUGUAAAUGCUGUGACUUCCUCUUUUUAGUGUCAAAGGGUGUUUGUUAUUGUUUGUUUGUGAAAAAUUUGAUUCAUGGGUUAUUUUCUCCUAAUCAUCUGUGGCACAGAAGGCUGACACUACAAAUGAAGGACAGCACAAACCAAGGACAUAUUCACCAAAAUACAAAAGAGGUUGCCUGAAGAGUAUAUGAAAUUGGAAGCAACUUCUAAGGAAAUGCAGCCUGACUUCAAGGGUGUUAUCCUAACAGAAAACAACUACUCCAAAUGGCAUGUAAUUAGAGAAGAAGGAUGCAGUACCUAACCAGUCAUUACUGUAGCAUAAAUUUGCCAUAGCGUGUGAUUAAUCUAAGAAAGGCACGAUGAUGAUCUCACCACGUCUGCU